GACGAACGCUGGCGGCGUGCUUAACACAUGCAAGUCGAACGGUAAGGCCCUUCGGGGUACACGAGUGGCGAACGGGUGAGUAACACGUGGGUGAUCUGCCCUGCACUUCGGGAUAAGCCUGGGAAACUGGGUCUAAAACCGGAUAGGACUCCGGACUGCAUGGUCUGGGGUGGAAAGCUUUUGCGGUGUGGGAUGGGCCCGCGGCCUAUCAGCUUGUUGGUGGGGUGAUGGCCUACCAAGGCGACGACGGGUAGCCGGCCUGAGAGGGUGACCGGCCACACUGGGACUGAGAUACGGCCCAGACUCCUACGGGAGGCAGCAGUGGGGAAUAUUGCACAAUGGGCGCAAGCCUGAUGCAGCGACGCCGCGUGAGGGAUGACGGCCUUCGGGUUGCAAACCUCUUUCAGCAUCGACGAAGCGAAAGUGAUGGUAGGUGCAGAAGAAGGACCGGCCAACUACGUGCCAGCCGCCGCCGUAA
rnacentral:rRNA from 1 species